rnacentral:rRNA from 2 species
GAAGGUGUGUCGUGAGGCAUGCUGGAGGUAUCAGAAGUGCGAAUGCUGACAUAAGUAACGAUAAAGCGGGUGAAAAGCCCGCUCGCCGGAAGACCAAGGGUUCCUGUCCAACGUUAAUCGGGGCAGGGUGAGUCGACCCCUAAGGCGAGGCCGAAAGGCGUAGUCGAUGGGAAACGGGUUAAUAUUCCCGUACUUGGUGUUACUGCGAAGGGGGGACGGAGAAGGCUAUGUUGGCCGGGCGACGGUUGUCCCGGUUUAAGCGUGUAGGUGUGUGUUCCAGGUAAAUCCGGUUCACUUUAACACUGAGGCGUGACGACGAGGCACUACGGUGCUGAAGCAACAAAUGCCCUGCUUCCAGGAAAAGCCUCUAAGCAUCAGGUAACAUCAAAUCGUACCCCAAACCGACACAGGUGGUCAGGUAGAGAAUACCAAGGCGCUUGAGAGAACUCGGGUGAAGGAACUAGGCAAAAUGGUGCCGUAACUUCGGGAGAAGGCACGCUGACACGUAGGUGAAGUGAUUUACUCAUGGAGCUGAAGUCAGUCGAAGAUACCAGCUGGCUGCAACUGUUUAUUAAAAACACAGCACUGUGCAAACACGAAAGUGGACGUAUACGGUGUGACGCCUGCCCGGUGCCGGAAGGUUAAUUGAUGGGGUCAGCGCAAGCGAAGCUCCUGAUCGAAGCCCCGGUAAACGGCGGCCGUAACUAUAACGGUCCUAAGGUAGCGAAAUUCCUUGUCGGGUAAGUUCCGACCUGCACGAAUGGCGUAAUGAUGGCCAGGCUGUCUCCACCCGAGACUCAGUGAAAUUGAACUCGCUGUGAAGAUGCAGUGUACCCGCGGCAAGACGGAAAGACCCCGUGAACCUUUACUAUAGCUUGACACUGAACAUUGAGCCUUGAUGUGUAGGAUAGGUGGGAGGCUUUGAAGUGUGGACGCCAGUCUGCAUGGAGCCGACCUUGAAAUACCACCCUUUAAUGUUUGAUGUUCUAACGUGGACCCGUUACCCGGGUUGCGGACAGUGUCUGGUGGGUAGUUUGACUGGGGCGGUCUCCUCCUAAAGAGUAACGGAGGAGCACGAAGGUUGGCUAAUCCUGGUCGGACAUCAGGAGGUUAGU